rnacentral:rRNA from 1 species
UACGAAGGGGGCUAGCGUUGUUCGGAGUUACUGGGCGUAAAGCGCGCGUAGGUGGUUUGUUAAGUUGGAUGUGAAAUCCCCGGGCUCAACCUGGGAACUGCAUUCAAAACUGACUGACUAGAGUAUGGUAGAGGGUGGUGGAAUUUCCUGUGUAGCGGUGAAAUGCGUAGAUAUAGGAAGGAACACCAGUGGCGAAGGCGACCACCUGGACUAAUACUGACACUGAGGUGCGAAAGCGUGGGGAGCAAACAGG